rnacentral:snRNA from 1 species
AUACUUACCUGGCAGGGGAGACACCAUGAUCACAAAGGUGGUUUUCCCAGGGCGAGGCUCACCCAGUGCACUCCGGAUGUGCUGACCCCUGCAAUUUCCCCAAAUGUGGGAAACUCGACUGCAUAAUUUUUGGUAGUGGGGGACUGCGUUUGCACUAUCCCCUG